CACAGUGUACAACACGGGACUUCACGACCAGAGCUGCUUUUGGUAAGAGGUGUUGUAGCUGGCUUAAGAGAGCAGAUGGAAGCCUCUGCCUCGAGGGCAGGUGCCUUGCACAGAGUCAGAGGGGCCAAGCUGCACUCCUGAAGAGCAGCACGAGAAGGGCAGGCUGGUCGUGAGUGGGGUUGGAGCAGGAUGGCCAAGUAGCACAAGGUGACUGUGAAGGGUAUCCAUCUUGCUUUGCAGGUGCAAUGGCAGGCUUUCCACAGAAGUGGCUGAGGAUUCGAGAAGAGGUUACAGAGCAUCAAGGAGCGGCACGUGCAGUGAUGGCUUCCAAAACGGUGAAGAGGUGCCUGAAGCCCCAUCCUGUCUAGCCUGCGCACACCUCGCUAAGAAUGAAAGCUGAUUUCCAGUAAUUCAGACAGCCAAGUUACAUCUCAGCCUCGAGCAUCUGGGGACUGUGCCUGUGCUUUUGGGCCUGUCUGUAGCAUUUGGC